UUUAUUUCAGUUACUACUUUCAACGUUGUAUGCGAUUGUAUGCCGGUAAAGUUAUCAACGUCUAUAGCAACGUCAUCUACAUACCCUCAUCCAAUAGUUGUUACUGACAAAUAUGACAGAAGACGACAAUAACAUUAUUAUACCAAUUGUGACUGCAUGUAUCGCUGCUUUCAUCUGCUUGGCAGCAUUUGUAAUUCUUAUCGUUAUAAUUUGCAGAAGGCAUCGGUCUGCGAAAGACAAAAGAAACGAAUCAAACAAAUGAAGUCACAAUGUCUGACUUAGAACCUAACACAGAACAAAACGAGUGUGUUACUAACACUUAUGAAAAUACCUGACCAAAAUAUUUAUGAAGGUCUAAAUAGGCAAGACAAUGCUCCAUCGGGUGAAAAUGUACCAGCAUCUGUAUACAGAAACCAAUUAUUCAGAUUGCGAAAGCAAAACUCAAAACGUUAGUCAUCGACAGUCGGACACAAACAGUUUAGAAAAAGAGCAUAACAAUACGCCUGAUAAGGAUAGUAUUUGUGACAGCAUACAUCGUGAGAACUCGUCAAAUGAAUAUGAAAGUUAUAAAACUAACGCAACUGAUCAGAUGUACGAAACACUACAAAAAGACAAAUGACACAUAUUUAGAACGGCGUUACCUAAGAUUAAGGAACACGAGGUUUUUUUGUCAUAUCUUUAAACUAGACAUUUCGCGUGACUUAAAUGAACGCUAGAACUUGUGAAACUUUAGGGCUAAUAUACACAUGUUUAAGCUAAAUGUGUUGAAAGAGAUGUAAUUGUUAUCAAUAGUUUUGUAAGAAGAAUUCAGCAACACCUUUAAUAAUCUGAUAGAUUCCAUGCAUACAUAUGAAGCAUCUAUAAUAAAUUGAUAUGAUGAAGUUGGAUUUAUAAUAAUAAUAUUCUUAUCUAGAGAAAAAGGAAACAUGUAUACUUUUUAUGACGGCCUUAUGAUUUAACAAUGACAAAGAAAUAGACAAAUAAUUUAUAACGAAACAAAGAAAAGUACUUGUAGAUCUAUACAAAAUUUGAAAUCUUUUUUGUUCAAACAAAAUUUUUUAUGUAUCUUAAUAAUGUAAAGCUAAGAUAUUUUUAUUCAUUCAAUCGACUGACAAUCGUAUUAAUCAUAUUAUUUAUAGAUUAACUCAUUAUAAUAAAAACAUCAUCAUCAAUAGCUAACAAUUUAAAGUGGUUUCAGUUAUCAUCAUGUGUCUAAUUGUAAAAUAAGAAAAAACAUUUUCAGCUGGUUUUGAAAGAUUAUAAUGCCAAAUAUUGCUUAAUAGUAAAAUGUAAUUUGUUCCAGACGAAUGCUUAAAAUACAUAUAAGAAUUAUUGGAAUAAUAAGUAUGAUGUAUAGUAUUCAGUACAAGUUCCUUAUGAGCGAUAAAGCGUAAAUUAAGCAAUUCAUUGUGAGAGAAACUUGCAAUUUCACUACAUAUAGAACGAUAGUUAUGAGAUUUAUACACCAUAAUUGUAGUGUAGUAUUAAACCCUAAAAUUGAGAAACAUUUAAUUUUGGUGAACGUGUCGGUCGAUUAAGUUUUAUUUAUAUUGUUACAGAACUAAUCUGGCCAUUCCAUAAAAUAUAAUAAGCACAUUUUUUAAGAUAAUGAGCAUAUUUAUGUAGAACUAUUGAGUUGUUUUAGGGUAUUUCAUUAUUGUAUUGUAGAUUACUUUGACAGUGUUAUUUAAUUCACAGUUUUUGCAGUGAUAACUUUGUACAAGUUGUAACAUUUUAAAGGAUGCGAUUGUGAUAUCUAAGAUUUACAACAGUUCUUCCAUAUAUCAUUGUGUUCUUUGUGUCAAGCUAUCAUCCCUAAACGAUGAGAAGAUACAAAAUUAGUAACAGUUUUGUGAGUUUCCAAUCAGCGGAUGACUAUGGAAUGUAACAUUUCAAUAAUAAAGUUAUGAAACGUUCAUAUAAUCUACAACAGGAACUGACUAAGAUCAUCUUAUCUCUUCUUCUUUAAGUACGCGAUUUAAAAAAAAAAAGAAUUAAAAAGAAAGCGGCUAAUUUUAAAUUUGUAAAUAUUUUUGAUGUUCUAGAUCAUGUUCAAAUUAAUUCAUGCUGAGCUUUUGAAUAAUUGAUGUACAUGCAUGAUUAAGUUUGAAGUGAAUUUUUUGUAGUAUGUUAAACUGCAUAUUGAUAGCAGGAAUGAAUUUAUAUUUUACCUUCUUAUUGCAUAAUUAUACUACAUAUUUAGAUAUUGCAAAUAUCUGCUAAAUCUAGCAUCAUGUUUCUUGUUGUACAUAAAGUAAUAAUAUGUUAUGUUAAAUUAUAUUUAGCUUAAAAGAUGUUCUUCACAAUGUAUAUGUUUUAUUAUUCAAGUUAGUCUUUUAAAUAAAAUCAGAAGAACAAUCAAGGUUUUUUAAUUUUUUUAUUGCCGAGUAAACUAUCCUUGCUAGAGAUUGUUCUGAUUCUGCAGUUUCAAACUUUAACUUGCUCUGACAUCAGUUGACUGAACUUCGUUUUUACACUGCUAUCAAACUAUGUGUUUGAUAGAAGAAUAGCAUGAAGCUUGUUAGAAUUUAUAUUUUAUAUCACAUUUUCUAUGUAUGAUUUGGACAAUGUUCGUCCAACUUUAAGUCACACCUUGGUUUGGAACGUUGUUUUUUGUUUGUUCAAACUUUAUGUCAAGCUUUCUUUUGAUAAGUUAUCAAUACCUUUGACAACAGAAAAUAAAACUUUUGACAUCGGUUAGCUGUUAGCCAUGUUCAGUCCUUACAAUGUUUUGGUUUACUCCGUGAUGCCACCAUAGGGAAGAGCAAAUUUAAAAUAAAUUUACUGAAAAUUCACCUUUCGAAUUAUUUUUUAUACACAAACGGCUAAUUCAAGAUACAAUGAAAGAAAAUAUAAGAUGAUAACUUAUCUAAUAUUGCCGACCAUGUAACGUUCAACAUUGAAAGU